rnacentral:lncRNA from 1 species
CCGGUCUCGCGCUCACGGUCCCUCUCACGCGUCUGGCGCUCGCCUGGCUUCUUCCUUGGGCCGUUCUCCUCCUCCGCCCCCCUCCGUGGCGAUUUCGAAAAGCGCUUCGCGGGAAAGGUUAGGGGGCGGGGGGAGGUGGCGGAGGCAGCGGCGGCGGCGGCGGCGGUGACGGUGGUGGUGGCGGCGGCAGUGAAGGAGGAGGCAGUCAAGGGUGCGUGGGGCCUUCAAAGUUGAGAGGCGGAGAAUAAGGAGACCCUCCCUUGCCCUCUUCGGCAGGCCAGGGAAAAGAGAGAGCCUUCUCCCGGAGCGCACGAGUCCGGACCCCUCCGCCAGCCUCCGGAGCCGAGAGGACCCACGGCGCGCCGGGCGGCCGGCUUCCACCAUAUAAAAAACCGACAAUGAACCCGGCGGAGCGUUUCCGUCCGACCAGGCCCUGGCGGAGGUCGAAUGGCAAAUGAACAACGGACUGUGCGCCCACAAUGCACCGGGGUAGCUGGACCGGGCCAUGAAUUUGGAGUGAGAUGAUUGCACCAUGGACACCUCCUCCUCUGAUGCAUUGUGUCUGUGUGUGUCUGCGUGUGAGGGAGUGAGGGAGGCAGCACCCCGGGCCCAAGGCAAUAAUCAUUUCACAGAAAUGCACCGCCCCGAGUGUCUUAUUGCUGUGAUGAAAUGGAAAUUUAAAUAAAAGGUCGAACACGUGCGUUCACUGGGAAGUAUUGACAUGGGUGUUACAUCACCGGCAGCCAAUCAGAUAACUCCAGUUGUGUUUAUACUUCUACAACCACCUUAAACAAACUCAGAGAUAAGCAAUUUAGUCCACAGGAAAAAAACUAAUAAGUGGCAGACUCAAA